UACGUAGGGUGCAAGCGUUGUCCGGAAUUAUUGGGCGUAAAGAGCUCGUAGGCGGUCUGUUGCGUCGGCUGUGAAAACCCGAGGCUCAACCUCGGGCCUGCAGCCGAUACGGGCAGACUAGAGUUCGGCAGGGGAGACUGGAAUUCCUGGUGUAGCGGUGAAAUGCGCAGAUAUCAGGAGGAACACCGAUGGCGAAGGCAGGUCUCUGGGCCGCAACUGACGCUGAGGAGCGAAAGCAUGGGGAGCGAACAGG
rnacentral:rRNA from 1 species